AUGGACAGAUAUAUAGAUGAGCUCGAAAUUAUUGGAGGAAAGCAGGAAAUAGAGAGAAUGGAGCCAAGGGUUCCAGCGCAAAACAGGAGACCAAAACCUCCUCCAAUGGGAUACGCCAAGAUCAAUGUAGAUGCUGGAUGCCGAAGAGGAAGCCGAGGAACAGCGGCCGCAGUAUGCAGGGACAGUACAGGUGCUUUCCUUGGGAGUUCAGCAUUGGUCAUCCGCGGAGUGGAUGAUCCGGCAACGCUAGAAGCAAUAGCAUGUCGGGAAGGAAUGGCGCUUGUAGCAGACCUUCACUUAGAUUAG
rnacentral:rRNA from 1 species